rnacentral:rRNA from 1 species
AUACGGAGGGUGCAAGCGUUACUCGGAAUCACUGGGCGUAAAGCGCGCGCAGGCGGCUAUUUAAGUUGGAUGUGAAAGCCUACGGCUCAACCGUAGAACUGCAUCCAAAACUAUUUAGCUAGAGGGUGGGAGAGGAAGAUGGAAUUAGUUGUGUAGGGGUAAAAUCCGUAGAGAUAACUAGGAAUACCCAAAGCGAAGGCAAUCUUCUGGAACACUACUGACGCUGAGGCGCGAAAGCGUGGGGAGCAAACGGGAUUAGAAACCCUAGUAGUCC